GAUGAACGCUGGCGGCGUGCCUAAUACAUGCAAGUCGAGCGAACAGACGAGGAGCUUGCUCCUCUGACGUUAGCGGCGGACGGGUGAGUAACACGUGGAUAACCUACCUAUAAGACUGGGAUAACUUCGGGAAACCGGAGCUAAUACCGGAGAAUAUAUUGAACCGCAUGGUUCAAUAGUGAAAGACGGUUUUGCUGUCACUUAUAGAUGGAUCCGCGCCGCAUUAGCUAGUUGGUAAGGUAACGGCUUACCAAGGCGACGAUGCGUAGCCGACCUGAGAGGGUGGUCGGCCACACUGGAACUGAGACACGGUCCAGACUCCUACGGGAGGCAGCAGUAGGGAAUCUUCCGCAAUGGGCGAAAGCCUGACGGAGCAACGCCGCGUGAGUGAUGAAGGUCUUCGGAUCGUAAAACUCUGUUAUUAGGGAAGAACAAAUGUGUAAGUAACUAUGCACGUCUUGACGGUGCCUAAUCAGAAAGCCACGGCUAACUACGUG
rnacentral:rRNA from 1 species